GCAUAUCAAUAAGCGGAGGAAAAGAAACCAACAGGGAUUGCCCUAGUAACGGCGAGUGAAGCGGCAACAGCUCAAAUUUGAAAUCUGGCUCUUUUAGAGUCCGAGUUGUAAUUUGCAGAGGGCGCUUUGGCUUUGGCAGCGGUCCAAGUUCCUUGGAACAGGACGUCACAGAGGGUGAGAAUCCCGUACGUGGUCGCUGGCUAUUGCCGUGUAAAGCCCCUUCGACGAGUCGAGUUGUUUGGGAAUGCAGCUCUAAAUGGGAGGUACAUUUCUUCUAAAGCUAAAUAUUGGCCAGAGACCGAUAGCGCACAAGUAGAGUGAUCGAAAGAUGAAAAGCACUUUGGAAAGAGAGUCAAACAGCACGUGAAAUUGUUAAAAGGGAAGCGCUUGCAGCCAGACUUGCUUACAGUUGCUCAUCCGGGCUUUUGCCCGGUGCACUCUUCUGUAGGCAGGCCAGCAUCAGUUUGGGCGGUAGGAUAAAGGUCUCUGUCACGUACCUCCUUUCGGGGAGGCCUUAUAGGGGAGACGACAUACUACCAGCCUGGACUGAGGUCCGCGCAUCUGCUAGGAUGCUGGCGUAAUGGCUGUAAGCGGCCCGUCUUGAAACACGGACCAAGGAGUCUAACAUCUAUGCGAGUGUUUGGGUGUCAAGCCCGAGCGCGUAAUGAAAGUGAACGGAGGUGGGAACCCGCAAGGGUGCACCAUCGACCGAUCCUGAUGUCUUCGGAAGGAUUUGAGUAAGAGCAUGGCUGUUGGGACCCGAAAGAUGGUGAACUAUGCUUGAAUAGGGUGAAGCCAGAGGAAACUCUGGUGGAGGCUCGCAGCGGUUCUGACGUGCAAAUCGAUCGUCAAAUUUGGGCAUAGGGGCGAAAGACUAAUCGAACUAUCUAGUAGCUGGUUCCUGCGA
rnacentral:rRNA from 1 species